rnacentral:rRNA from 1 species
CAACCUGCCGUCUACUCUUGGACAGCCUUCUGAAAGGAAGAUUAAUACAAGAUGGCAUCAUGAGUUCACAUGUUCACAUGAUUAAAGGUAUUCCGGUAGACGAUGGGGAUGCGUUCCAUUAGAUAGUAGGCGGGGUAACGGUCCACCUAGUCUUCGAUGGAUAGGGGUUCUGAGAGGAAGGUCCCCCACAUUGGAACUGAGACACGGUCCAAACUCCUACGGGAGGCAGCAGUGAGGAAUAUUGGUCAAUGGGCGAGAGCCUGAACCAGCCAAGUAGCGUGAAGGAUGACUGCCCUAUGGGUUGUAAACUUCUUUUAUAAAGGAAUAAAGUCGGGUAUGUAUACCCGUUUGCAUGUACUUUAUGAAUAAGGAUCGGCUAACUCCGUGCCAGCAGCCGCGGUAAUACGGAGGAUCCGAGCGUUAUCCGGAUUUAUUGGGUUUAAAGGGAGCGUAGAUGGAUGUUUAAGUCAGUUGUGAAAGUUUGCGGCUCAACCGUAAAAUUGCAGUUGAUACUGGAUAUCUUGAGUGCAGUUGAGGCAGGCGGAAUUCGUGGUGUAGCGGUGAAAUGCUUAGAUAUCACGAAGAACUCCGAUUG